rnacentral:rRNA from 1 species
AUUGAACGCUGGCGGCAGGCCUAACACAUGCAAGUCGAACGGUAACAGGAAGAAGCUUGCUUCUUUGCUGACGAGUGGCGGACGGGUGAGUAAUGUCUGGGAAACUGCCUGAUGGAGGGGGAUAACUACUGGAAACGGUAGCUAAUACCGCAUAACGUCCCAAUACCAAAGAGGGGGACCUUCGGGCCUCUUGCCAUCGGAUGUGCCCAGAUGGGAUUAGCUAGUAGGUGGGGUAACGGCUCACCUAUGCGACGAUCCCUAGCUGGUCUGAGAGGAUGACCAGCCACACUGGAACUGAGACACGGUCCAGACUCCUACGGGAGGCAGCAGUGGGGAAUAUUGCACGAAGGGCGCAAGCCUGAUGCAGCCAUGCCGCGUGUAUGAAGAAGGACUUCGGGUUGUAAAGUACUUUAAGCGGGGAGGAAGGGAGUAAAGUUAAUACCUUUGCUCAUUGACGUUACCCGCAGAAGAAGCACCGGCUAACUCCGUG